rnacentral:rRNA from 1 species
CAUAGCGAGUGGGAACCACCCGAUCCCUUUUCGAACUCGGAAGUGAAAACGCUCUGCGCCGAUGCUAGUGUCGACUUUGUCGAUGUGAAAGUAGGUCACUGCCAGGC